rnacentral:rRNA from 1 species
AUUGAACGCUGGCGGCAUGCCUUACACAUGCAAGUCGAGCGGGGUUUCGGACCUAGCGGCGGACGGGUGAGUAAUGCGUAGGAAGCUGCCCGAUAGAGGGGGAUACCAGUUGGAAACGACUGUUAAUACCGCAUAAUGUCUACGGACCAAAGUGUGGGACCUUCGGGCCACAUGCUAUCGGAUGCGCCUACGUGGGAUUAGCUAGUUGGUGAGGUAAUGGCUCACCAAGGCGACGAUCUCUAGCUGGUUUGAGAGGAUGAUCAGCCACACUGGAACUGAGACACGGUCCAGACUCCUACGGGAGGCAGCAGUGGGGAAUAUUGGACAAUGGGCGCAAGCCUGAUCCAGCCAUGCCGCGUGUGCGAAGAAGGCCUUCGGGUUGUAAAGCACUUUCAGCGAGGAGGAAGGGUGGUGUGUUAAUAGCACAUCAUUUUGACGUUACUCGCAGAAGAAGCACCGGCUAACUCUGUGCCAGCCGCCGCCGUAA